CAGCUACUUGCGAGGCUGAGGCAGAAGAAUCGCUUCAACCCAGGAGGCGGAGGUUGCAGUGAGCCGAGGUCACACCACUGCACUCCAGCCUGGGAGACAGAGUGAGACUCUGUCUCAAAACAAAACAAAACAAAACAAAAACCAAAAACAUUGGUUAGUGUAGCCAAGAAAGAUUUUUGACUUAAAAAAUAAAUCUGUUAUCCAUGCAGUGUGUUGAUGAAAAAAAGAAGAUAGUAUGUGUUACAAAUAAGAUAAAUAUUACAUAACCAUUUGUAAGAUUAUUUAUGAAGAGUUUGUAAUGAUGUGGGAAAGAGGUUAUGAUAUAAAGUUAAGCAAAAGAAAAAGUAAAUGCCAAUUAUAAAAAUAGUAUAUUGUUAGCUUUGCUUAAACAUAUAUACGCACACACUAUCCGCAAAAAGCAGGAAUAUACUUCACUCUGUAAGUGGUGGUUAUCUCUGAGUGACAUUUUACAGGAUGUUCCCCUGCUUUUUUUUUACUGUAAUGUACAUUCCAAAUUAUUAGAUUAGUAUAUUUACUUUUACAAAUGGUGAUUAUACAUUUUAAUAGUUUCAGAAUGUUAAGAUCUUAAGAGACUAAGCUUAGUUCUAUAGCUAGCACAUAGUAGCAUUGCAUAAAUAUUAUUCAAUCAAUUAAUGAAGUCAUCACUUCAUCGCAAGAGUGUACACAAAGUAUUAGAACUAUUAAAAUGUUUGUGUGUGCACCAGCCCCAUCAAUUCUGAACAACGCCCUAUGCCCUAUCUGUCAUAAUUAUAUAUUCUUAUUUUUGGGGUCCUCACUCCUUAAAGCAACAUUGUUGUUUCCUUCAUUGCUUCUCCCCAAGCACAGAAGCAAAAAAAAAAAAAGAGAUCAUUUAUUGUUUUAAAACCUUCAUUUAUUUUGGGAUGUCACUACCAAUUUUUCAGGCCUUAGACAUGUAAGCAUGCAUUUCUACUUUUUUAGAUUUUGAAUCAUGUAGAAAUCUAGCCAAAUUAAUUGAGAAUACUCUAUUGAAUAAAUCAACAACUUUACUUCCAGGGUCCUGUUAACCUAAGCUAAAGAUAAAAAAGCAGCAACAAAGUGCCACUGUUAUCUGGUUAAAACUGACAACUGUAAGAUGUAUGGAUGAUUUUCUACAAGUUUAGAAACAGGAAACAGUGCUUGCUGCACUUGCCACAGGGCAUAUAAACUGAGAAAGUUAUGUAGAAAUUCAAGAUCAGAGGAUGAGCGCAAGGAUGAUCUUUGAGAACAAAACAGUGAACAGAGCCCUUUGUGGUGGCAAGCAGUGACGUGAGGUUGUGUUUAUGUGAAUACAAACCCUCUCCUCCCAAGUCUGGUGACUACAGUGUUUUCUUCCCACCUCGUUGUUAAUUGUGGAAAUCUGGCUGUCACUAUUAACAUAUCAAACAGAGGUCUUGAUAUUAUCUGCAGCUGAUCAUUUGUUUAGGUUUUACCCGCAGGAAAAGUCUGGUGGCAGCCAGUCCCAGGACAGCCACGCAUGACGCACAGAAGAGUCCUUAUAGUUCCCCUGGAGGGGGUGAUGAUGCAGGCAAAUGCCACGCCUGAUCCCUUUGGGUCUCCGUGGCAACAAGGCUGCUUGUCAGACUAGAUGAUAAUGAGCCAUGAUCUGGAAGAGGCUUAUUCCAUAACAGGAGGGAGGUUUCAAAGGUAACACGUCAACAGCAAUGCCUCGGCAACAGCUGUUUGUUAUUGUAGUCGUCAAGGACAGAAAAAGGACAAGGCUGCCAGAAGAUGUUGCAUAUGGAACAGAAGAUUCUUGCCCUGGAAGAAGGAAUAGAGGAGAUGUAAAUAUCCCUUCUUUCUUGGGGGAAGGAAAUAGAUGAACUGUAUGCUAAGUUAGAGCCUCUCUUUAUCUAUAAAUGAUCUGUUGGUUAAACAGGAUACCUCCCUUCUGAACAUCUCAGCACCCCAUCAAGAGAACUUCAGGUCUCUGCCAUUUAGACGUGUCAUUUGUAAGUAAAAUAAAUCAGGGAAGUAAUAGGAGGAAAGCUAAGAAUGAAAGGAAUUCAUCACCACUGCAAAUUUGUCCCUGAAGCAAGGUGAGUCCCUGCCCAUCUGGCUACACCAGCUCUUUUUUUUUUUUUUUUUUUUUUUUUUUUUUGGCCCUUACUAGACCCCACUUGGGAUUUUGUUGGCAUAUUUGCUUGGAUGUCUAUCUCCUCUGUAGUUCCUGAGGUCAAGAUUACAGUCUCUUUUUUUUUUUUUUUAGUUUUUGUAUCUAUGGUGCCUGGCAAAGAAAAGAAGCUCCAUCAAUAUUUACCAGUUGCUGGUGGCAAUGGUAAUGGUAGUUGUGUAGAAGGUGGGAAGGAUAGAAGUAUAGCUAAGUGACGGGACAUUCUAUUUCUACACCUUGUUUAGCUAUGGAGGUCUCUGGAACUAGCCAGGCUAGCCAAGACUGGGACUUCUUGUGUCUUCUCCAAGAGAGGCAGAAUGAGCCUAAUGGUUUAGAACGUGGGCUCUGGAGCCAGACAAGCCAGAUUAGAAUCCUGACUCUACUCCAAGCAGUGUGAGCUUUGGCAAGUUACAUACCCCAUCUGUGCCUCUGUGAGGAUGAAACGAGUUCCUUAGAAUGAUGCCUGGUACCCCAGAGGAGCUAUUCAGGUUCAAUUGACUCUGUUUCUAGUAUUACUGCUCAACUUAGGAAGAAAAGAAGUGCAGAAGAGGAGAGGCUUUUGCUUCAAAUUUUGAGUUUCACAUUUAACCUUGCAGUUUUAUCCCUGGGGAGCUUCUGCCUGGAUGGAGGAUGAAUCUGGUAUCUAAGCUCCUCCUUAGGGCUGUCAUUUAGACCAGUGCCAAUCCCUAGGAGUGCUUCUGAUUUCCUGCUUAUCUCCUACAAAUGUACAGUUAAGUCAAUUCAAAAGAAAAGAUAAAUGGUCCAAACAAAUCCAUUGUAGCAUACUGUAAUUCACUGUCCAUGGGGCAAUUCAUUUGCCCUUGAAUUAUUAUUAUCUUCCUUACCUGAUGUGCUUGACACUUAUGAUCUUGAACCAUGCUGGGCACCAUGGCAAAUUUUGAUAUUUGAUAUCAAAUAUCAAAAUAUUUGAUAUUUUUUCCUUGAUGCUUUUGAAGACACCUCCUCCAUAACCACGAUCAGCGACCAACACUCAAAAGGCUGAGGGGAACUGAAGCCAAGUUAGGGAAACAAUGUAAAUGCCUGGCUGGUUAACACGUGGAUAUCCAAAGAGUUGUUGGGUCUUCUCACCUCUACCCUCAUCUGCCGUGAGCACACAGUGCUCCACGGAUAUAUUCAAACUUGAAUCAGGCCAGGCACGGUGGCUCAUGCCUGUAAUCCCAGCACUUUGGGAGCCCAAGGCGGGCGGAUCACAAGGACAGGAGAUUGAGACCAUCCUGGCUAACAUGGUGAAACCCGGUCUCUACUAAAAAUACAAAAAAUUAGCCCCGCAUGGUGGCAGGUUGCCACUGCACCCCAGCCUGGGCGACAGAGCAAGACUUCGUCUCAAAAACAAAACAAAACAAAACAAAACAAAACAAAAAAACCUGAAUCAAUAAGUGAGGAAUUUUAUGAAAUGCACUCUUGAAGCCAAUGAAAUAAGGUCAUCCAUAACUAUAAACCAGCAGCUAAAUAUUACGUAAGCAUGGGACUUGGACUCUAUUUCAUUUAGACCACCUGAAGCAGGUUCUCUUGGAACUGCAAAACAAAAGAAGAGAGAGAAAGAAAGACCACCAUUGUGAUGGUUUCCAGAUAGGCCUAAUCAAAAGGUUGAAAAUUUCUACCAAGAAUAUUAAGUCAUUACAGCAGGUACCUUUUCUAAUUAAAAUUGUAUUCCCACUGCAUGGCUGCAUCCUAAUAAACUGAGAGGCAUCAGCUAGCUACCUUAUCUUUCAUACCAGCUGUAAGUAUGCUGAUAUACAUAUGUAUAUUAUAUUUGUAUUAUGUAUAAUAUCUAUAUGCUAUAUGUAUAUAUAAAGUAUAGCCCUUAAAAAUUAUUUCAAAGUCACACAAUCAUCUGAGUCACACAAGCACAUAGAAAAAGAGAUAAAGGUAUGUUAUGUAACUCACCUCCUGUAUCCAGAUAAGUCUUCAGUCAAACAAAUACAAUUAUUUGAUAUUUUUUCCUUGAUGCUUUUGAAGACACCUCCUCCAUAACCACAAUCAGGAACGGUCUGUAUUUCAGCAGUCAGGAAGUUCUUUUUUUUUUUUUUUUUUUUUUUUUUUUUUCAAAUAAACUGCUUAUCUUAGAAUGGUUUUAAAAUUACAGAAUUAAUGUAAUUAGUGCAGUAAUGUAAUUAGUGCAGUAAUGGUACAGAGCGCUCCCUACCUAAUACUGAGUUUCCCCUAUUGUUAACAUAUUACAUUAAUAUGGUACCUUUGUCAUGACCAAUGAAUCAGUAUUGAUACAUUAUUUCCUCAGCUUUUCCCUAAUGUCUUUUUUCCUUUUUCUUUUUUGAGAUGGAGUCUCACUCUGUUGCCCAGGCUGGAGUGCAGUGGCACGAUCUCGGCUCACUGCAGCCUCCACCUCCUGGGUUUAAGUGAUUCUUCUGCCUCAGCCUCCCAAGUAGCUGGGAUCACAGGCGCCCGCCAAUACACCCAGCUAAUUUUCGUAUUUUUAGCAGAGAUGGGGUUUCACCAUCUUGGCCAGGCUGGUUUCAAACUCCUUACCUCAAGUGAUCUGCUUGCCUCAGCCUCCUAAAGUGCUGGGAUUACAGGUGUGAGUCACCGUGCCCUGCCCCUAAUGUGCUUUUUCUAUUCCAGGAUUCCAUGCAGGAUACCACAUUGUAUUUAGUAGUCAUGUCUCCUUAGGCUCCUCUUAGCUGUGGCAGUUUCUUAGACUUUCCUUGGCUUUGCUGACCUUGAUAGUUUUGAGGAUUACUGGUCAGGUAUGUUGUAGAAUGUCCUUCCAUUGGGUUUUGUCUGAUGUUUUACUCAUGAUUAGACUGAGUUAAUGCAUUUAAUGGGAGGGAGACCACAGAGGCAAAGUGCCAUUCUCAUUAUAUCAUAUCAUCAAGGGUGCACACUAUCAAUCGCUUGCCAAUGUUAGGGAGUUGUUUUUAAGGUCAAAAGUAAAUUCCUAUUGUUAAAGCAGUGGUUCUCAAAGUGUGGUCCCCCAGAUCAGCAGUGUCAGCAUCACCUGGAACUUGUUAAAAAUGCAAAUUCUUGGCUUUAUCACAGGCCUACUAAAUCAGAAACUCUGGGGGUGGAGCCCAGUGAUCUGUCUGAACAAGCCUAGGUGAUUCUGAUGCAGCUGAAGUUUAAGAACUGCCGUGUUCGUGGUUGUCUAACAUGUUUGGCCUCAAUGUAUAAAAAGAGUUCUCCUCAGUGCCCAUCUAUUAAGCCAGUGGUUCUCAACUCUGCUGCAUUUCAUGAAUACCCACGCCCAGGCACCAUCCCCAGAGACUGAUAUCACUGCUUUGGGAGGGUGUCUUACUGAAAAGUUCCCAGGUGGUUCCAAGCCUAGACAGGGUUAAGGGCUCCUGCCCUGGCCCUCAGCUAAGAGAAGUCUCCCCUCUUCUACUCAUGCUUUCCACCCUUGUAAGCUCUCCUUCCUUUCCCCCUUGGCCUUUGGAAGAAUGGAUCAAUCAGUAGCCUGGUUUCUUAGAAAACAUCAAAGAAGAUUUAAUGCUACAGAACUUCAGAUUGGUAAUAGCCAUAAAGGUCAACUAGUUAUGUGGUUUUAAAAGUUUUUUUGAGCAGACUCUUUCUUCAAAGGAAAUCUUUAUGGGGAAACCCAAACCAAUACAGAAAAAGAGAGAAAACUGAGCUGCCCUGAGUGAAGGGGAAGGGACUUGAGGUUGCUUCUGGUCCUCCUGACACUAUCUAGCCAUCACUGGGCUAGUUCAGCCUUCCCAGUCAAUGGUUGUCCACCUUCUCCUUGAUCAUUUCCAGCAUCAGGGGCUCCUCCACUUACCACGCCACUUCCAUUUCAGUACCAAGCAUCAAAGCUUUCUUUCUUUUGAGCCCCCAUUGGCUUCCCCAUCACUUCCUAUCACUAAUACAGCUCCUUUCCUGGUGUUAAAGAAGAGAGAUAGAGAGCCUUUCCCAUAAAAAGCCUCUUUUUAUUUCAUGAUUCAGGCACCCUGCUCCCUCAACAGUGGUUCUCAACUGGAUUGUGCAUUAGAAUCAACCAAUGCACUUUCAAAAGUCUCACUGCCCAGGAUACACCCCAAAUCAAUCUGGUAGUGUCUUUUCAGGUGGACCCAGGUAGACAAGAACCACAUGCAGCCUGGCUGGGGACUGAGCACCUUUGUCAGAGCCUCUCCCCUCACCCCCAGGCCAACAGGGCCACCCUCUUUCCUGAUGAUUGACACUACUCUGAACCUCCUCAUCAUUCCAUCUGCUCCCUUUAGAGAAUGCUCCAUUAUCCGUAUCAAAAAGUAAGUCAUAGUGGCACAAUUUUCACAAACAGUUUUUAUACAAUGAAGGUAAAAAGUUUAAGUGCUGGGUUGAUAUAAUACCAAAUUCUUUCUUUCUCAAGUUAAUUAGAAUAAAAAGACACCUAUUUGCUUCGUGACUCAACAAUCCAACUUCUACUCCCAUGUCCCCCUUCCCCUAUACUGGAAAGAUUGUACAAAUGCUCCUACCUUUCCCGGAGCAGAAGUGUCUCACAGCUAGUAUCCCUGCUCUGCCCUUGUUAAAUGAGAGGUAAAUGAUGUGAUCAUUUUUUUGUGACUGCCUUAAGCAACUCCACCCAGAUGGCCUGGCUGUUUGUUUGGUGAAGAUUUCUCUCUCCUCUUCUGCCCCCUCUUUCUGACCCAUUAGUCAGAAAAUAACUGGGCUUUGCAAAUGUAGGUUGUGUAAGUUGUCAGGUUCACCAGCCUCCAAAUGGCCUGUCCCAAAUCCUCUUAACCAGUAUUUCCGGAAUGAAGUUAAGAUCAUGCAGGCCAUUAGCCAAGGAGUUUAGCUAGAGAGGGUGGGGUGAAGCACAACCCAUGCUUUGAAGUAUCUGAAACACUCACCAGCCAAUGACAAUUACUUGUCUCCACUAGGCUGAAGAACAUAUUUCAGUUGUUCCUAUCUCCACUGAAAAACUUGCCUCCUAUAUAUGACAUGACUCAUAGUCAUUAAGUCCAACGUGGAACGCAAAGAGGUUACUGUUUUCCUAACCAUUGUAUUCGAAGUCUCAGUCAGCUCAACCAACUGCUCCAAGUUGCAGAACAUGGCUGAGGUAAACAUGGAAUUGUGCUGAGAGUUUUGUCUUAAACUCAUGCCAUCCAUCUUCAGUUGGACCCUCGAUUCUCUCUUAUAAUCAUUUUUCUUUUCCUUACUAAACUUGAUACUCUAUGCCCCACAAUAGUGUUUCAGAACUUCCUUCCAAAGUUUCAGUUUUCACAUCUUUAAAAUAAAGAUAAUCAUAGCAUCUACUUAGUAAGGCUGUUCUCAGUAUUAAAUCAAAGGAUAGGCGUAAAGUUCAAAACAUAUGACAUAAGUACCUAAUACAUGCUGUUACUAUUAUUAUAUAUGUUAUUAUCUAUGCUAAUAUUAUAUGACAUGAAUAAUGAAAUAACAAAAUAAUAUUUUCUACUCAUCUCAAAGUUACGAAACUUUUUUAGUGUCAGCUAUAUGCUAGUUAUCCUGUUAACAUGACACUUUGAUAUACAGCCCCUAAGAUCCCAACUCCCUUCCACUCUCUUUCCCUCAUCUUAUUGGCCUUCUUUCUUACUAAGAUCAAGGCAAGUCCAUGGAAGCCCCUCAAUAUUCCCCUGCAUCUCAGAAUUUCUCCAUGUCAUCAAAGUUCCUGUUUUUCUUUCCUCUUCUCUCUGAAGGCCAUCUCUGCUCCACUCCACAACCCUGGCCCUUCUCACACUAAGUAUGGUGCCCCAGGGAGGAUUUCCCCUUCAGCCCCACCUAAGAGAUCUCAGCAUGCAGCCCACAAGGUUUAAAAUUGAGUCUUUACUCUUGAAAAGAUUAAAACAGAGUUGAGGUGCCAAAAAAAAAAAAAAGAAAAGAAAACCUACAAGAUAGCUCAUAACAAGUGCCAACUGAGUCAUUCAGAAAAAAAAAAAAAAAGAGAAAUGCCACUACCUUCAGCAAAAGGGAACCAUUGAACUAUCAUUGAAAAAAUACUGUUCCCCAGAGGGAAAAAAUUAACU
rnacentral:lncRNA from 10 species